GAUGAACGCUGGCGGCGUGCCUAAUACAUGCAAGUCGAGCGAACAGACGAGGAGCUUGCUCCUCUGACGUUAGCGGCGGACGGGUGAGUAACACGUGGAUAACCUACCUAUAAGACUGGGAUAACUUCGGGAAACCGGAGCUAAUACCGGAUAAUAUAUUGAACCGCAUGGUUCAAUAGUGAAAGACGGUUUUGCUGUCACUUAUAGAUGGAUCCGCGCCGCAUUAGCUAGUUGGUAAGGUAACGGCUUACCAAGGCAACGAUGCGUAGCCGACCUGAGAGGGUGAUCGGCCACACUGGAACUGAGCCACGGUCCAGACUCCUACGGGAGGCAGCAGUAGGGAAUCUUCCGCAAUGGGCGAAAGCCUGACGGAGCAACGCCGCGUGAGUGAUGAAGGUCUUCGGAACGUAAAACUCUGUUAUUAGGGAAGAACAAAUGUGUAAGUAACUAUGCACGUCUUGACGGUACCUAAUCAGAAAGCCACGGCUAACUACGUG
rnacentral:rRNA from 1 species